rnacentral:rRNA from 1 species
CAGUAGCCACGGUAAUACGAAGGGUGCAAGCGUUACUCGGAAUUACUGGGCGUAAAGCGUGCGUAGGUGGUGGUUUAAGUCCGUUGUGAAAGCCCUGGGCUCAACCUGGGAAUUGCAGUGGAUACUGGGUCACUAGAGUGUGGUAGAGGAUAGUGGAAUUCCCGGUGUAGCGGUGAAAUGCGUAGAGAUCGGGAGGAACAUCAGUGGCGAAGGCGGCCAUCUGGGACAACACUGACGCUGAGGCACGAAAGCGUGGGGAGCAAACAGGAUUAGAUACCCGCGUAGUCCCUGUCUCUUAUAC